GCUUGCGCUUAGAUAAAGAAUCUCAUCCGGUAGAGCGAAUGAUUAGAGGCAUUGGGGUCGAAACGACCUCAACCUAUUCUCAAACUCCAAAUAGAUGAGAUCCCCGGCUUUCUUAAAAUUGAAGCCGUGGGAAUGAUCAGAUGCCUGGUAAGCAGAACUGGCGCUGUGG
rnacentral:rRNA from 1 species